ensembl:lncRNA
AUGGGGGUGCGGGGGAGCACAGGAGCGCGAGCCAGCACCCAGACCUGCUCGGUACCGGGGACCCAGACCUGGGGAUGCCGGGUGGCCAGGACCCCGCUACCCUGGCCGGCUCCGGGCGGAGUAACAAGAGAAGGCGCCCAGACUGCAUCUCCGCCGGGACCCGGAGCCGCGGCACCACCCCAGCCCGCCCCACGCUCUCCAACCUCAGGCGGCCGCGCCCCGCCCCGCCCUCUCCCGAAGCCCCGCCCCGGCGCGAGACCACCCUCCGCGGCCUCCGCUCUGGUCCCGGCCCCGCCCCCCGCGACCCCGCCCCGCCCCGCCCCGCCCCGCCCCGCCCCGCCCCGCCCCCGCCCCGGCGCGGGACCACCCUCCGCCCGGCGAGGCGGGGGCCCAGCGCGCCCGGCACUCUCGGCGGUCCGGGCCCCUCGCCACCACCGCCGCCGCCGCCGCCGUGAGUCCCGCGGAGCCGCGCGCCCCAGCUGGGCCGAGCCGCCGGCCGACCAGCGGAGCCGCAGGAGCCCGCGGGGACGCCAUGCGAGCCAGAUUUGUGCUUGAGAAGCUCUGAGUUCCCGUGCGUCCACCCGCAUUGGCAUUACAGGUACUCUAUAAAUCAUCCAUCCAUUCAAACACUGACUGCACCUGCUAUGUUCCAGGUGGUUCCCGGUGAACAGGACAAAGUCCUUGCGUUCAUGGGGGCUGUUCUGGUGGGAGAAAAAGGAGAGAAGUAAAUGAUAGAUAAAAGAAUGUCAAGAGUGGUGGACAAGACCGGGGGAGGGAGUGGGCAGCAAUAGUGUGCUUGUGUUUUUGAUAUGGUGUGUGAAUCUCCUCUACAAAAAAGAUAUUUCUAUCCUAAUGCUCAGAACCUGUAGGUGUUACCUUAUUUGGCAAAAGGGACUUUGCAGGUGUGAUUCAUUGAAGGCUCUUGAGAUGGUGAGAUACCCUGGAUUACCCAGAUGGACCCUAAAUGUUAUCACGAGUCUUUGAAGAGGGAGAUGGAGAUCUGACCACCGGAGGAGGCCCUGGAAUGGUGGAAACAGAGACUGGAGUCCUGAGCUUUGAAGACGGAGGAGGGGCCUUGAGCCAGGAAUCCAGGCAGCCAUGGGAUGCAGGAAAGGGCAGGGCCACGGAAGCAGCUCGCGCCCUUGAAGCCUCCAGAAGGCACUGGCCCUGACGUCAGCCCAGCGAGCCUGGUUUCAGAUUUCCAGCCUCCAGAACUGUUGAAGAGUCAGUGUGUGUUUUAAGCCACUAAGUUGGCGGUAAUUUGUUACAACAUCGAUAGGAAAGUCAUGCAGGGUUCUGCGGCUUUGAGGGAGGUAUGUUUGAGCAGAGCCCUCUGAGGUUGGGGCUGGGCUUCCCUGCCGACACGUGGGCUGGGGCCACAAAGCCUGAACCAGGAUCCAGGCCUAGCUAAGGGUCAGGAAUCCCUGCUCUGGCAGUUGUCCUCAGCCUGGAAAUGACCCACAGUGCAUGUAUAUGUGUAUGGGUUUUGUUGUUAUUGUUGUUGUUUUGGUGCGGGGCAGGGUCUCAUUCCGUCUCCAGGCUGGGGUGCAGUGGUGCAAUCAUGGCUCACUGUAGCCUCGACCUCUGGGCUCAAGUGAUCCUCCCAUCCCAGCCUCCCGAGUAGCUGGGACUACAGGCGCACAUCACCAUGGCUGGCUAAUUUUUUUUUUUUUUUAACUUUUUGUAGAGACUAAGUCUUGCUGUGUUGCCCGGUCUGGUCUCAAACUCCUGGGCUCAGGCAAUCCCCCUGCUUGGGCUGUCCAAGGUGUUGAAAUUACAGGCAUGAGCCACUAAGCCCUGUCCUUUUAAAUGUAAAAAUGUCAGAUGAGGUAUCAAUCCUCUUUGCUGAGUAUAAGUGUAUCUUAUUAACAGAAGAAAAUAUUUGCUUGGCUUUCUAAAUUGGGAAUUUCUAACAAUUCGUAACAGCCCACUGGCUUUGACCGGAACUGACCGAGUGCUCAGUUACGUCACUCAGCGGAGUGCCUGUGUCGUGGACAGAAAACCCAGUGGUCCAGCGCCAUUUACCAUCUGUCCUGGUUUGCAACCCCUGAAAGCAGAGCCCGAGACAAGGACUUGGGUGCUGAUGUUUUUGGGGAGCUGACUGGUCCCAGCAGUCCAUCCAAGCAGAAGAGAGUGAGAAGAGGGAAGAGGAAAAGCAAAUCAGGGAUCAGCUACUGAGCUAGUGGCCACUGUUAACCACUGUUAGGGCUCCAUCAUGCUGGAGACACAUUUGAGGAGCCAUGAUACUAUGCCCUAGAAUUGUCUUUCUGGAGUCCAGAGGUGGGGAUGUUGACCCCAGGGCCGCCCCGGGGGCUAUAUCUCUGCAGCACAUCCUCCAUCCUGCAGGCUGACCCGGGCUUGGGGCUGUGGUGUGCUGGGGUGGCGGAGCUCCUGCAGAUCCCACCCACCAUUUGGAGAACGUUUUGACAGCGCAGCAACAGAGUACUGAGUGUACAGAGAUCUGCUAUAGCUGGCCUUCACUUCCACCAAGUCCUCACUUUGUGGCUGUCCCCUGGGAGUCAUAAGAAAGGCCCGUAGUUUAGCUCCAUCCACCAAGACUUGAGUCACCUACCAACAUCUGCCUUAAUGACUUUACAAACAGUCAACGUGGCAGAAGAUGUUUAGAAAAGUGUGGGAGAAAGUCAAAGUGUGAGUGAAUGAAGGGGAACGAAGUGGGAAAGCGCAUCUCACCUGCACACACGUUUUUUGACUCUUGUGCACAAGCAUUUCUCACCCAAGGUACAUAGGCGUUUUUGACCCUCUGCGCACGGGCAUUUUUGACCCUCUGCAUGCAGGCAUUUUGACUCUCAGUGCACAGGUAUUUUUGACCCUCUGCACACAGGCGUUUUGACUCUCUGUUUGUAGCAGCCUCCCUUGAUGUAUGUUCAGGUGAACCAGCCCUCGACGCACACCUACAAGCUCAGGGACCAUGUGCAGGUGAACCAGCCUGUGACACUCACCUACAAGUACAAGGAGCACGGUGCAGGUGAACCAGCCCUUGAUAUAUACCUAUGAGCUCAGGGUCCCUGUGCAGGUGAACCGGCCCUCGAUGCACACCUGUGAGCACAGAGCCCACGGUGCAGGCGUUCUCUCUCUUAUUCACGAGGAGGCCCAGUCAUUCCCUCCCCACCCUGAGUUGAGGAGGAAGGAUAAGACUUAACUGUGGUCCCAGCAUUUAGUGGCAGAGCCAGGAUUUGAGUCCAUAUUCAAAUAAGGUCCAAGUCUUCAACACACUCAUGUUUCCUAGAUAUUUUCAGCCUCCUAAAGAUUUAUUAUGGGGGCAUAAACUCUUUCAAGACUCCAUCACAAAUAUUGUUAGUCUGAUUCAGGACAGGAAUGUUCACUUCUACUUUGAAAGACUUGCGAUUUUAUAACCUGCCAUGGGAAAAGAAAAUGCAGGAUUGGAGCCGGGUCUGGAAUCUUGCACCCUCACUUGUC